UGUAGCCGGAGCCCCGAACACUGAGGAAGAGGACUUUGAGGAUGCGGAUGAUGAGAGUCAGGAGGACUCCGAUGACAGCAUGGGCUGAUUGCAGACAUCUACUGAGGGAUGUCCAUAGACAGGAUUUAGUUUUUCUUUCUUUUACUUUUAUUUUUAUUUUAUUUCUUUUUAAAUUCUUAGAAUAGGUUGAAUUUUAAUUUUGGUGUGUAUUCUUGGCUUUAAUACUUGUUCUGAAAAUGUUUGAUUAACUGAUGUGCAUGAUGGAGCUAUUUGAUGAUAAAUUGAUGUGGAUGAGAAUUGAGUUGCAAUGCAUGUUGAUAUNNNGUGAAAUAGAUGUG
rnacentral:lncRNA from 1 species